rnacentral:rRNA from 1 species
GAUGAACGCUAGCGGAAGGCAUAAUACAUGCAAGUCGAACGGAUGUAGCAAUACAUUAGUGGCGCACGGGUGCGUAACGCGUAUGCAACCUACCUUCAUCAGGGGGAUAACUACCCGAAAGGGUGGCUAACACCGCAUAAUACUACUGAAUGGCAUCAUUUGGUAUUUAAAUCUGAGGAGGAUGAAGAUGGGCAUGCGUCUGAUUAGCUAGUUGGUGUGGUAACGGCGCACCAAGGCGACGAUCAGUAGAGGAACUGAGAGGUUGGUCCCCCACACUGGCACUGAGAUACGGGCCAGACUCCUACGGGAGGGAGCAGUAGGGAAUAUUGGUGAAUGGUGGGAACACUGAACCAGCCAUUCCGCGUGCAGGAAGAAGGGUCUCUGACUUGUAAACUGCUUUAGCAAGGGAAGAAAAAGCUCAUGCGUGAGAAAUUGACGGUACCUUGAGAAUAAGCACCGGCUAACUACGUGCCAGCAGCCGCGGUAAUAC